CCCACCGCACGAGUCUCACGUGCCAUCCUCAGAACUCACGUGCCAUCAGGAGAGCCAGACUCACCAUUUAAACAGAUGAGCAGGGACUUAGAAUUCACGCUAGGAAGGAAAUGAACAGGAGGGUAGGGGUGGGACGUGCUGGGGUAGAGAAUGACCAGAAAUGGAAAUUCACAGGAGGUCCACAUUCACGGAGCUCUUCCCCAAGGACAGACCCUGUAACCAAGCAAGCAACCAUCAAGAAAAGUGAGUAACACACACAGCUGACCCUCCAUAUCCUUGGGCCUCACAUCGGCAGAUUCAGCCAACAGCAGAUUGAAAAUAUAUGGGAGGAAAAACAAUGACCAAAAAAUAUAUACAAAUAAAAAACCAAUGCUGUAAAACAACUAUUUACAUAGCAUUUGCAUUUAUUAGGUAAAAGUGAUCAAGAGAUAACUUGAGGUUUAUAGGAGGAUGUGUGUAGGUUAUGUACAAAUACUGUGCCAUUUUGUAAAAGGAGCUUGAGUAUCUAGAUUUUGGUAUGGAAAAGAGGGUAUCCCUUCAGAAUACCAGUGACUAGUGUUCUAAACUAGCAGUUAUCAAAGUAUCAGCCAGGAAAUCCUAGGGAUCCCCAAGAAUUUUUCAGGAGAAUUUGCAAAGUCAAAACGAUUUCCAUAAUAAUGCUACUUGAUUUUUUUCACUGUCAUUCUCUCACAAGUGUACAGUGGGGUUUUCCAGAAGCUACAUGGGUGAUAUGUAAUAUUGCAGUAGAUUGAAUGCAGAAGCUGACAUGAGAACCCAGCUCUCUAUUAAGCCACGUACUAAAGAGAGGUGCAAAAAAUGUAAAACGAUGCCACUCUUGUCACUAAUUUGUUUCAAAAGAAGUAAAUAAAAAUAUGAUUUCUUAGUGUGUCAUUGGUUUGUUCUUAUUAAAUUGCCCAAUUAAUAUGUCUUUAAAAAAUUUUUUAAUCUCGAAUGCAGUACGUAUGAUAGAUAUAAUCCACAUAAACAAACUAAAAUGGACCCUGGGACUGUAACAAUAGAGAACUGCGGUCCUAGACAACAGGAUGUCUUCAGCCCCGGUCAGACUAAACUCACUCCCACCACCCUCUUCCUUCCUGUGGCCAAGGAAAAAGCUAAUAUAAAGCUGACUUUAAGAAGAACUAAAACAGAUUUACAAGAAA